ensembl:lncRNA
GGAGAGCUGGGCUCCGGUGCUUGCGAGGCCAGGAGGCAGGAGGCAGCAGCGCUUGGAGGAUGUCCCAGCGGCUGUGGUCGGCGGGUGGGGCGGGGAUACGGGGAGGGAGGGAAGUACCCCGGGCUACAUGCAUCUUGAAUAGGCAAUAGGAGUUUUGACCUGCUCCUGCUCUUAAGUGAAAGAGGUUGUAAUACUCCCAGUACUCAUGGCUAGCUGUUGGCUUCUGGCUCUGCGGGAAGUUAGAGAUGGUGAUAAUGAAGUUGUGGAGAUGAUCUCCAUGAUGAUAGAACAAAAAGGGCAAGCAGAUCUUGCAACACAGUUGACCAUGAAGACAGAGAAGCAAUCUCCAAGCAGUGAAGAUCUGGGUUUUCAGCCAUCCCUGAAUUCACCUACCUCCAGCACAUGAGAGAAUGGUCAAAAGCAGGGACCAGGAGUUUAAAUAUACAGACAACGGCCAGACCAAAUAUAAAAACAGAAUUCUGAUUCACAUUCUGCAGCACUCAGUCCAGGAAGGCAAACAAUGCCUAUGACAAUCAACACAAGAGGCCAGGACUUGAUUAAUGACUGACAGCUUCACUCAUUUUCCUUUAGGAUCAACUGAGACCCAGCUGGGAAAGUCAAAUAUGCACCCCUACUCAAUCACAUACAAUGCUCUGCUUCCAGUUAGCCUACCUACAGUUUCCCCAGGCCAACACCUCUUCCUUCAGGCAUACCUUUUUUCCAUUUUAUAUAAACUUUUCCCUCUCCUCUGCCUGCUUUUGAGACUCUGCCAACACAAAUGAUGGUAGCUAACUCCCUUGCUAUAGCAACCUCUUAAUAAAAAGCCUUCACUUGUUCCCAUUUGGGUGAUCUUUAUUUUCCCACAAGAUAAUCCAUGAGUUGAUAUUUUUUGAAGUUGUGGGACUAGUAUUAUUGAUCAUUCAUUUAUGCUAUCCUCUCUACCUUUGUAUAUGUUUGAAAUUUCCCACAAUAAAAAAUUUAAAAUAUUUCAAAAAUGUCAGGGUCAUUAAACAAUAACAACAGCAGAGACUGAUUCUAUAUUAGCUAAAAGUACAUUAUCGGAAAAAAACUGGGAAAUCGAAGUUGGAUCAUAUAUUAGACAAGAGGUUAGACUAAUGUUAAAUUUUCUGAGUGAACAAUUUUACAUGGUUACAUAGGAGAAUGUCCUUGCUUUUAAGAGGUAAUGAUGAAAUACUUAAGAUAAAGUCAUGAUGCCUGCCACUUACAGACAUUCCAUGAAAAAGGUCAAGAGAGAAAAUAAACAAAACAUUAACAACUGGUGAAACUCAAUGAAAGGUAC